CCUACGGGUGGCUGCAGUGGGGAAUAUUGCUCAAUGGGGGAAACCCUGAUGCAGCGACGCCGCGUGAGGGAAGAAGGAUUUCGGUAUGUAAAGCCCUAUUAGCAGGGAAGAAAAUGACGGUACCUGAUUAAGAAGCCCCGGCUAACUACGUGCCAGCAGCCGCGGUAAUACGUAGGGGGCAAGCGUUAUCCGGAUUUACUGGGCGUAAAGGGAGCGUAGACGGGAGCACAAGUCAGGAGUGAAAUGCUGGGGCUUAACCCCGGAACUGCUUUGGAAACUGUGCAGCUAGAGUGCGGGAGAGGUAGGUGGAAUUCGUGGUGUAGCGGUGAAAUGCGUAGAUAUCAGGAGGAACACCAAUGGCGAAGGCGGCCUGCUGGACUGUAACUGACGUUGAGGCUCGAAAGCGUGGGGAGCAAACAGGAUUAGAUACCCGAGUAGUC
rnacentral:rRNA from 1 species